UAUAGCUCAGUGGCAGAUCAUCUGCUUGGCAUGCAGAAGGCUCCAGGUUUAAUUCCUGGCACCCCCCAA
rnacentral:tRNA from 1 species